AUUGAACGCUGGCGGCAUGCCUUACACAUGCAAGUCGAACGGCAGCACGGGUGCUUGCACCUGGUGGCGAGUGGCGAACGGGUGAGUAAUACAUCGGAACGUACCUUAUCGUGGGGGAUAACGCAGCGAAAGUUGCGCUAAUACCGCAUACGCCCUGAAGGGGAAAGCGGGGGACCGUAAGGCCUCGCGCGAUUAGAGCGGCCGAUGUCUGAUUAGCUGGUUGGUGAGGUAAAAGCUCACCAAGGCGAUGAUCAGUAGCUGGUCUGAGAGGACGAUCAGCCACACUGGGACUGGGACACGGCCCAGACUCCUACGGGAGGCAGCAGUGGGGAAUUUUGGGCAAUGGGGGCAACCCUGAUCCAGCAAUGCCGCGUGAGUGAAGAAGGCCUUCGGGUUGUAAAGCUCUUUUGUCAGGGAAGAAACAGCAGCUCUAACACAGUCUGCGAAUGACGGUACCUGAAGAAUAAGCACCGGCUAACUACGUGCCAGCCGCCGCAGUAA
rnacentral:rRNA from 1 species